UGAAGCUGCCAACAUGAUCUG
rnacentral:miRNA from 1 species